CACAUACCAAUUAAAACACCUACCUUUACCAUAAUUCUUACUAUCCAUUAGAAAAAGUAGCCAAAAUUAUAUGAAGUGUUCACAGGGGUCACUUGUGUGAAAAUAGCCCAGAGCAUGAAUGUCACUUAAAAGAAAACUCUGCUUUGUCUGGACAAGGAACACUAUAGCGUCAGAAAUAUUAAAACGUAUUCCAUACCGUAUAGUGUUAAAAACACUAUCUAGCCACUCCUUGCUCCCCUAAAUAUAGUAAAAUCUUACCUUUAUUCCAGUCUGCUGGUGUUGACUCUUCCCCUGAUCUACCUUCUUGACUGACAUCAUCAGAAGUGAUGAUCUCAGCCAAUCUCAAUGCUUUCCUAUAGGAAAGCAUUGGAUUGGCUGAGAUAGUCAAUUCACGUGAUCUCAGCCAAAGAAGCAAGACCAACACUGCCCUGGCCAAUAAGCAUCUCCUCACAGAGAUACACUGACUCAAUGCAUUUCUAUGAGGAAAGUUCAGUAUCUCCAUGCAGAGGGUGGAGACACUGAAUUGGAGUGAUGCACAAUUUGCAGCACUGCCCCAGGAGCACCUCUAACAGCCAUUUGAGGAGUGGCCAGUGGAAGUAUUCCUAUGCUGUAAUGUAAACACAGCCUUUUCUCUGAAAAAGACAGUGUUUACAGCAAAAAGCCUUAAGGGACUGACUAUACUCACCAGAACAAAUGUUGUUGUGUACCUUUGAGAAAAGUUACCACCACCGUUUGUCAUUAU